AUUCAAGUACCAUUCACUUAUUUAUAAUAACUCUUUUUAUGUAAACAACUAUUUCCUUUGAUCAUGUCAACAUGUUUCUGAUGUGGCAUGUUUUUGCUUUUAAUUCCAGUCAGUUUGGAAAAUCUAGUCGCUAAGCACCAAAAGUAUUUUUUCCAUCACUAAAUGGGUUACUAAUUUAAUUUGAAGGGAAUAAAAUUUAUGUAAUAAAAAAAGCUGUUUGCUAUUAAUAAAUUGUAAUUCUUCUUACACAUCCAACUGUAUCGUCUUCAUAUUCAUUUCCCCACCACUGAAAAAUAUCUUAAUUCACAAUAUUUUAACUGGUUUUUAAUCCAAAACUAAUUUAUAAGACGACAUGUAUAGUAAUAGCUUGAGUGAAUAAGCAAAAGUUUAAUUUUUAUAUAUGUCACACUAUAUUUUAAAUAGUUAAAAAGACAGAAGAGGGGAGAGCCAUCAAUGAUAUAGAUGGUGCCAUUUCAGUUCAAAGUUGUAAUAAUCUUGGGAGUGUUAC
rnacentral:lncRNA from 1 species